rnacentral:rRNA from 1 species
AUUGAACGCUGGCGGCGUGCCUAACACAUGCAAGUCGAGCGGUAACAGGUGUAGCAAUACAUGCUGACGAGCGGCGGACGGGUGAGUAACGCUUGGGAAUCUGCCUAUUAGUGGGGGACAACCCGGGGAAACUCGGGCUAAUACCGCAUACGCUCUACGGAGGAAAGCCGGGGACCGCAAGGCCUGGCGCUAAUAGAUGAGCCCAAGUCGGAUUAGCUAGUUGGUAGGGUAAUGGCCUACCAAGGCGACGAUCCGUAACUGGUCUGAGAGGACGACCAGUCACACCGGAACUGAGACACGGUCCGGACUCCUACGGGAGGCAGCAGUGGGGAAUAUUGGACAAUGGGCGAAAGCCUGAUCCAGCGACGCCGCGUGGGUGAAGAAGGCCUGCGGGUUGUAAAGCCCUUUCAGUGGGGAAGAAAAGCCGAGUGCUAAUAUCACUCGGUCUUGACGUUACUUACAGAAGAAGCACCGGCUAACUCCGUGCCAGCCGCCGCUGUAAU